AACGAGCUCAAUCUCAUCUGAUCUCGGAAGCUAAGCAGGAUCGGGCCUGGUUAGUACUUGGAUGGGAGACCGCCUAGGAAGACCAGGUGCUAUAGGUG
rnacentral:rRNA from 1 species